GCACAAGCGGUGGAUGAUGUGGUUUAAUUCGAUGCAACGCGAAAAACCUUACCCACCUUUGACAUGGCAGGAAUCCCGAAGAGAUUGGGAGUGCUCGAAAGAGAACCUGCACACAGGUGCUGCAUGGCUGUCGUCAGCUCGUGUCGUGAGAUGUUGGGUUAAGUCCCGCAACGAGCGCAACCCUUGCCAUUAGUUGCUACGAAAGGGCACUCUAAUGGGACUGCCGGUGACAAACCGGAGGAAGGUGGGGAUGACGUCAAGUCCUCAUGGCCCUUAUAGGUGGGGCUACACACGUCAUACAAUGGCUGGUACAAAGGGUUGCCAACCCGCGAGGGGGAGCCAAUCCCAUAAAGCCAGUCGUAGUCCGGAUCGUAGUCUGCAACUCGACUACGUGAAGCCGGAAUCGCUAGUAAUCGCGGAUCAGCAUGUCGCGGUGAAUACGUUCCCGGGUCUU
rnacentral:rRNA from 1 species